rnacentral:rRNA from 2 species
CUAUACAUGCAAGUCGAACGGUGGUAGCAAUACCAUAGUGGCGCACGGGUGCGUAACGCGUAACCAACCUACCUGGAUCUGGGGGAUAGCCCGCCGAAAGGCGGAUUAAUACCGCAUAAGCAGCUGAGACGGCAUCGUUUUAGUUGUAAAGAUUUAUUGGAUUCAGAUGGGGUUGCGUAGCAUUAGCUAGUUGGCGGGGUAACGGCCCACCAAGGCGACGAUGCUUAGGGGACCUGAGAGGGUGAUCCCCCACACUGGCACUGAGAUACGGGCCAGACUCCUACGGGAGGCAGCAGUAGGGAAUAUUGGGCAAUGGGCGAGAGCCUGACCCAGCCAUGCCGCGUGCCGGAUGAAGGCCUUCUGGGUUGUAAACGGCUUUUCUCAGGGAAGAAAAAGAGGAUGCGUCCUAAACUGACGGUACCUGAGGAAUAAGCACCGGCUAACUCCGUGCCAGCAGCCGCGGUAAUACGGAGGGUGCAAGCGUUGUCCGGAUUUAUUGGGUUUAAAGGGUGCGUAGGUGGCCUUAUAAGUCCGUGGUGAAAGCCUGCUGCUCAACAGCAGAACUGCCAUGGAUACUGUAGGGCUUGAGUCCAGACGAGGUUGGCGGAAUGGAAGAUGUAGCGGUGAAAUGCAUAGAUAUCUUCCAGAACCCCGAUUGCGUAGGCAGCUGACUAGGCUGGUACUGACACUGAGGCACGAAAGCGUGGGGAGCGAACAGGAUUAGAUACCCUGGUAGUCCACGCCGU